rnacentral:rRNA from 1 species
UACGGAGGGUGCAAGCGUUAUCCGGAUUUACUGGGUUUAAAGGGUGCGUAGGUGGGCAGGUAAGUCAGUGGUGAAAUCUUCAAGCUUAACUUGGAAACUGCCAUUGAUACUAUUUGUCUUGAAUAUCCUGGAGGUAAGCGGAAUAUGUCAUGUAGCGGUGAAAUGCUUAGAGAUGACACAGAACACCGAUUGCGGAGGCAGCCCACUACGCAACUAUUGACGCUGAGGCACGAAAGCGUGGGGAUCAAACAGG